AACGAACGCUGGCGGCAUGCCUAACACAUGCAAGUCGAACGAGACCUUCGGUUCUAGUGGCGUACGGGUGCGUAACGCGUGGGAACCUGCCCUUAGGUUCGGAAUAACUCCCCGAAAGGGGUGCUAAUACCGGAUAAUGUCUUCGGACCAAAGAUUUAUCGCCUUUGGAUGGGCCCGCGUUGGAUUAGCUAGUUGGUAGGGUAAAAGCCUACCAAGGCGACGAUCCAUAGCUGGUCUGAGAGGAUGAUCAGCCACACUGGGACUGAGACACGGCCCAGACUCGUACGGGAGGCAGCAGUGGGGAAUAUUGGACAAUGAGCGAAAGCCUGAUCCAGCAAUGCCGCGUGAGUGAUGAAGGCCUUAGGGUUGUAAAGCUCUAUUGCCCGGGAUGAUAAUGACAGUACCGGGAGAAGAAGCUCCGGCUAACUCCGUG
rnacentral:rRNA from 1 species